rnacentral:rRNA from 1 species
AACGCGAAGAACCUUACCAGCCCUUGACAUGGGGAGUUUGGAAACCGGAGACGGUUUCCUUCAGUUCGGCUGGCUCCCACACAGGUGCUGCAUGGCUGUCGUCAGCUCGUGUCGUGAGAUGUUGGGUUAAGUCCCGCAACGAGCGCAACCCUCAUUGUCAGUUGCCAUCAUUUAGUUGGGCACUCUGACGAAACUGCCGGUGACAAGCCGGAGGAAGGCGGGGAUGACGUCAAGUCCUCAUGGCCCUUAUGGGCUGGGCUACACACGUGCUACAAUGGCGGUGACAGUGGGGUGCAAGACCGCAAGGUGGAGCAAAUCCCAAAAAGCCGUCUCAGUUCAGAUUGCACUCUGCAACUCGAGUGCAUGAAGGUGGAAUCGCUAGUAAUCGUGGAUCAGCAUGCCACGGUGAAUACGUUCCCGGGCCUUGUACACACCGGCUAC